UUUUGACAAAAAUUAUUUCUUGUAUGUUCUUUGAUGGGAAAGUGGCUGUGGAAUUGAACUAUUUCAUUCCAUCUUAUACUGCUUCCCAUCUCCAAGUGUUUUGCCAUCACUAGUGGAAGGGACUAGAGCUGGUAACACCUUUCCUUGCUGGUUGGCAUGUACCUUUACUUUGUAGCUCUUAGUGUUUCCUAUUUUUCCCAUUUGGUAAGUCGUGGUUUGGUGACUUUCUGAUAACCAGACAAAAUAAUCACACUAGGAAGGAGGUAUAUAGUAAACCUCGGGUAGCAACUUAAUCCCUUUUCUAAACCAACAUUGGUGUCUAUUAACUACAAACACGAGACCCAAAGAUCCUGGAUUUUGAUAGUUCAUCAGGCCCAUUGCAGACCACACUGAAAGAAGAAAGAGAACUGUGCCUACCAGAAGGCUUGGUUUCCAACUUUCUCACAGGGCUCAAAUCUUGCUGGAACAUAGAAAUCAUAGAAUAUGCUGAGUUGGAAGGGACCCAUAAUGGAUUUGUUCAGUGGUGAAUUUAAUUGAAGUGCAUUUCAUGGAAUAAAAACCUCUUUGUCUGGAAAUUGACUUUUAAUGAAAUUCUUUCUCGCUCAUUUAAGGCUAACUACUUGUCUAAAUGUUCAAAAGCUCCAGUAAAUAUGCAAAUUAGUUGGAAGAAAAGUUCUUGAUGGAGCUGGUCAGCCAAUAUUAGAAGUGGAAAUAUACUGUACAGUUAAAAAAAUAUGAGAAGGUCCUUAUGUCUCUCUUUGUGUAACACUCUUGCAGGAAAAUUCAGUACAGGUUUUUUCCAGAGGAUUUGUUCCACUGUAAUGGCUACUCAUUCUCAAAAAACUGAAAAUGCUUUACCUGAAAAAUCUAAACUGAUGAGAAAGAAAGAAAUUUCUGUGUUCGUUCUGCUGUGGAAUGGGUCAGUGAAUCAGUGAACACAAUGUUAAGAGACUUGCAGCCUACUGACCAGUGUCAAGCUGAUAAGAUGCUUGGUGAAUACUUUGCAAACAAAUAGAAGAAAAAAAGCAAUUUCAAAAGCAAGAAGGAGAAGAAGAAGAAGCAAAAGACACUCUCGCCCCUACAUCAAGCACUCGACCCUCAACACCUAAGAAAGAAAGAGGAAAACCAGGUUCCUUGGUCCUUGAAAAAGGCAUUUCCGUGGUGUGGCAGCUGAAAUAGAUCAACUAAUCCCAGUGAUGGAAGAGUGUUCUUGAAGCCCUCAUAUGAGUUAGUGAACUGUGGUAAAGAAUGGUAGGAAACAUACCCUGAGCUGGUAUCCUGGUAAGAACUACUGACGUUUCAUCUCUGCAGUUGCAUGCUAUUCAGUGGCCAUCGUUAACAGAAGGUUUUGUUUUGGGGCGCAACUGAGUGUCCACCAUGGAAAAUAAAUAAAUUAAUAAAGUACUAGGGUGAAAGA